UCGUUUAAAGAAUAAAAUUUUAAAUACCGCCUGCCCACUGAAUUAAAGGGCCGCAGUAUACUGACUGUGCAAAGGUAGCAUAAUCAUUUGUCUUUUAAUUGAAGGCUUGUAUGAAUGGCGAGACGGGGUAGUUUCUUUCCCAAAUUUAUUUUCCAAAUUUAAUUAAUAAGUUAAAAAGCUUAUAUUAAACCGCAGGACGAGAAGACCCCAUAGAGCUUGAUAAAAUUAAUACAAUUUUAUUUAGAUUUUAAUUAAAAUGUUAUUCAAACUUAUUUGGUUGGGGCGACUUGAAUUAAAAUAACAUUUCAUUUUAAAACUUAAAUUUAUGGAUGUAUGAUCCUACUGAACGAUUAAUAAAAUAAGUUACCUUGGGGAUAACAGCGUAAUCUAGUGUUAGAGUUCUUAUCAAAAACUAGGAUUGCGACCUCGAUGUUGGAUUAAGAGUCAUUUUUGGUGUAGCAGCUUAAAUUUGAGGUCUGUUCGACCUAUAAAAUCUUACAUGAUCU
rnacentral:rRNA from 1 species